rnacentral:rRNA from 1 species
GUCGAACGAGCGAGAGAGAGCUUGCUUUCUCAAGCGAGUGGCGAACGGGUGAGUAACGCGUGAGGAACCUGCCUCAAAGAGGGGGACAACAGUUGGAAACGACUGCUAAUACCGCAUAAGCCCACGACCCGGCAUCGGGUAGAGGGAAAAGGAGCAAUCCGCUUUGAGAUGGCCUCGCGUCCGAUUAGCUAGUUGGUGAGGUAACGGCCCACCAAGGCGACGAUCGGUAGCCGGACUGAGAGGUUGAACGGCCACAUUGGGACUGAGACACGGCCCAGACUCCUACGGGAGGCAGCAGUGGGGAAUAUUGCACAAUGGGGGAAACCCUGAUGCAGCGACGCCGCGUGGAGGAAGAAGGUCUUCGGAUUGUAAACUCCUGUUGUUGAGGAAGAUAAUGACGGUACUCAACAAGGAAGUGACGGCUAACUACGUGCCAGCAGCCGCGGUAAAACGUAGGUCACAAGCGUUGUCCGGAAUUACUGGGUGUAAAGGGAGCGCAGGCGGGAAGACAAGUUGGAAGUGAAAUCCAUGGGCUCAACCCAUGAACUGCUUUCAAAACUGUUUUUCUUGAGUAGUGCAGAGGUAGGCGGAAUUCCCGGUGUAGCGGUGGAAUGCGUAGAUAUCGGGAGGAACACCAGUGGCGAAGGCGGCCUACUGGGCACCAACUGACGCUGAGGCUCGAAAGUGUGGGUAGCAAACAGGAUUAGAUACCCUGGUAGUCCACACUGUAAACGAUGAUUACUAGGUGUUGGAGGAUUGACCCCUUCAGUGCCGCAGUU